GCACGGUUAGCAAUAACUGGUGGCGACCGCGCACGGGUGCGUAACACGUAUACAAUCUACCUUAAACAGGGGGAUAGCCUUUCGAAAGAGAGAUUAAUACCCCGUAAUAAAUUGAACGGCAUCGUUUGAUUUGAAAGCUCCGGCGGUUUGAGAUGAGUAUGCGUCUGAUUAGCUAGUUGGUGAGGUAACGGCUCACCAAGGCGACGAUCAGUAGGGGACCUGAGAGGACUAAACCCCCACACUGGUACUGAGACACGGACCAGACUCCUACGGGAGGCAGCAGUAAGGAAUAUUGGUCAAUGGAGGCAACUCUGAACCAGCCAUGCCGCGUGCAGGAUGACGGCCCUAUGGGUUGUAAACUGCUUUUAUACAAGAGAAAACCCUGGUACGUGUACCAAGUUGAUAGUAUUGUAAGAAUAAGCAUCGGCUAACUUCGUG
rnacentral:rRNA from 1 species